GCUUCAGUUAGAAAGCAACUCUAUUCCAGAACGUCGGGAUAGAACUUAUGCUGUUCUGGAUGAAAUAGUAUUCAGUUAUGAAAUGGUUUCUUCUCCUGUUUGUUUCCCAGCCUGUACCUUCAGGCUUCAGUAUUGACACGUCAUACUUGUUCGUUGAAAGAUAUGACUAUAUAUUUAUUGCUUUACUGAAAAUGAGCAUAUCUCCACAGGGAAGCAGAGAAAGACACAGUUGGACCUCUCUUUCCAUCAAGUUUCUCUGUAUUCUCGAUAAACCCUUUUUUUUUUCUUCAUUUCUCUAUUUCUUCAAAUCACACAAACCCUGAAAUCUUGUUUCUUAGAAACCUUGUAUGUGUUUAUAAUGGUUCGAUCAAUGAAGGCAAAUCCUUCUUCAUCAUUAUCCGAAGCUUAUAGGUUUCUCACUAGCAUACAUGAGUGCU
rnacentral:misc_RNA from 1 species